AUUGAACGCUGGCGGCAGGCUUAACACAUGCAAGUCGAGCGGGGUGAUGGUGCUUGCACUAUCACUUAGCGGCGGACGGGUGAGUAAUGCUUAGGAAUCUGCCUAUUAGUGGGGGACAACAUCUCGAAAGGGAUGCUAAUACCGCAUACGUCCUACGGGAGAAAGCAGGGGAUCACUUGUGACCUUGCGCUAAUAGAUGAGCCUAAGUCGGAUUAGCUAGUUGGUGGGGUAAAGGCCUACCAAGGCGACGAUCUGUAGCGGGUCUGAGAGGAUGAUCCGCCACACUGGGGCUGGGACACAGCCCAGACUCCGACGGGAGGCAGCAGUGGGGAAUAUUGGACAAUGGGGGGAACCCUGAUCCAGCCAUGCCGCGUGUGUGAAGAAGGCCUUAUGGUUGUAAAGCACUUUAAGCGAGGAGGAGGCUCUUUUGGUUAAUACCCAAGAUGAGUGGACGUUACUCGCAGAAUAAGCACCGGCUAACUCUGUGCCAGCCGCCGCAGUAA
rnacentral:rRNA from 1 species